AUAAAAUGGCUGCUAAGUGUGCACAAAGUGCAUUGCUGCAAAAGGCAAAGGACAAAAUCCAAAUAGAUUCAAGUCAGAUUUGAUGAAAAUUGCUAUGAAAAUUCUCUCUCGACAAAGAACAAUUUGCUAAACUAGCAGUACUGGAUGUUGUGCUAAGGUUGAAGUCAAAAUUGAAGAAUGUGAGUCAUGGAGAUAUCGGAGAUAUCGAUAAUAAUUAUAAAUGUAAGAUGUGUGUAUUGAUGGAGUUGGUACAAAAGGCAAAUUGUAUCUAUAGAUUCAAAAAUAAAAGUGC